GAGCUUGCUCCACCGGAAAAAGAGGAGUGGCGAACGGGUGAGUAACACGUGGGUAACCUGCCCAUCAGAAGGGGAUAACACUUGGAAACAGGUGCUAAUACCGUAUAACAAUCAAAACCGCAUGGUUUUGAUUUGAAAGGCGCUUUCGGGUGUCGCUGAUGGAUGGACCCGCGGUGCAUUAGCUAGUUGGUGAGGUAACGGCUCACCAAGGCCACGAUGCAUAGCCGACCUGAGAGGGUGAUCGGCCACAUUGGGACUGAGACACGGCCCAAACUCCUACGGGAGGCAGCAGUAGGGAAUCUUCGGCAAUGGACGAAAGUCUGACCGAGCAACGCCGCGUGAGUGAAGAAGGUUUUCGGAUCGUAAAACUCUGUUGUUAGAGAAGAACAAGGAUGAGAGUAACUGUUCAUCCCUUGACGGUAUCUAACCAGAAAGCCACGGCUAACUACGUGCCAGCAGCCGCGGUAAUACGUAGGUGGCAAGCGUUGUCCGGAUUUAUUGGGCGUAAAGCGAGCGCAGGCGGUUUCUUAAGUCUGAUGUGAAAGCCCCCGGCUCAACCGGGGAGGGUCAUUGGAAACUGGGAGACUUGAGUGCAGAAGAGGAGAGUGGAAUUCCAUGUGUAGCGGUGAAAUGCGUAGAUAUAUGGAGGAACACCAGUGGCGA
rnacentral:rRNA from 1 species